rnacentral:rRNA from 1 species
AUUGAACGCUGGCGGCAUGCCUUACACAUGCAAGUCGAACGGCAGCACGGGUGCUUGCACCUGGUGGCGAGUGGCGAACGGGUGAGUAAUACAUCGGAACGUACCUUAUCGUGGGGGAUCACGCAGCGAAAGUUGCGCUAAUACCGCAUACGCCCGGAGGGGGCAAGCGGGGGACCGUAAGGCCUCGCGCGAUUAGAGCGGCCGAUGUCUGAUUAGCUUGGUGGUGAGGUAAAAGCUCACCAAGGCGAUGAUCAGUAGCUGGUCUGAGAGGACGAUCAGCCACACUGGGACUGAGACACGGCCCAGACUCCUACGGGAGGCAGCAGUGGGGAAUUUUGGACAAUGGGUGCAACCCUGAUCCAGCAAUGCCGCGUGAGUGAAGAAGGCCUUCGGGUUGUAAAGCUCUUUUGUCAGGGAAGAAACAGCAGCUCUAACACAGUCUGCGAAUGACGGUACCUGAAGAAUAAGCACCGGCUAACUACGUGCCAGCAGCCGCCGUAA